rnacentral:rRNA from 1 species
GAGUUUGAUCCUGGCUCAGGACGAACGCUGGCGGCGUGCCUAAUACAUGCAAGUCGAGCGGACCAAAGGGAGCUUGCUCCUGGAGGUCAGCGGCGAACGGGCGAGUAACACGUGGGCAACCUGCCUGUAAGACUGGGAUAACAUCGAGAAAUCGGUGCUAAUACCGGAUAAUAAAAAGAACUGCGUGGUUCUUUUUUGAAAGAUGGUUUCGGCUAUCACUUACAGAUGGGCCCGCGGCGCACUAGCUAGUUGGUGAGGUAACGGCUCACCAAGGCAACGAUGCGUAGCCGACCUGAGAGGGUGAUCGGCCACACUGGGACUGAGACACGGCCCAGACUCCUACGGGAGGCAGCAGUAGGGAAUCUUCCGCAAUGGACGAAAGUCUGACGGAGCAACGCCGCGUGAGUGAUGAAGGUUUUCGGAUCGUAAAACUCUGUUGUUAGGGAAGAACAAGUGCCGUUCGAAAGGGCGGCACCUUGACGGUACCUAACGAGAAAGCCACGGCUAACUACGUG